CCUACGGGAGGCAGCAGUAGGGAAUAUUGCUCAAUGGGGGAAACCCUGAAGCAGCAACGCCGCGUGGAGGUGGAAGGUUUUCGGAUUGUAAACACAUUUUGUUAGAGAAGAUAAUGACGGUACGUAUAGCAUAAGCACCGGCUAACUCGGUGGCAGAAGCCGCGGUAAUACGGAGGGUGCCAGCGUUAGCCGGAAUCACUGGGCGUAAAAAGGGCGUAGGCGGGAUAGCAAGUCAGAUGGGAAAUCCUAGGGCUUAACCAUAGAACUGCAUUUGACACUGUCAUUCUAGAGUAUGGGAGAGGUAGGUGGAAUGCGUGGUGUAGGGGUGAAAUCCGUAGAGAUCAAGAGGAAUACUGAUUGCGAAGGCGGCCUGCUGGAACAUAACUGACGCUGAUGCGCGAAAGCGUGGGGAGCGAACAGGAUUAGAUACCCCGGUAGUC
rnacentral:rRNA from 1 species